rnacentral:tRNA from 1 species
UGCCCGAUAGUGUAAUUGGCAACACAUUUGAUUCUGAAUCAAAAGAGUCUAGGUUCGACCCCUGGUUGGGCAA